rnacentral:rRNA from 1 species
AACAAACGCUGGCGGCGUGCCUAAUACAUGCAAGUCGAACGGGGAAAGCUUUCGGGUGAGUACUAGUGGCGCACGGGUGAGUAACGCGUGGAUAAUCUGCCUUAGAGUGGGGGAUAACUAGUCGAAAGAUUAGCUAAUACCGCAUAAGACCACAAGAACUGCGGUUCAAGGGGUCAAAGGUUUUUCGCUCUAAGAUGAGUCCGCGUAAGAUUAGCUAGUUGGUAGGGUAACGGCCUACCAAGGCGACGAUCUUUAACUGGUCUGAGAGGAUGAUCAGUCAGACUGGAACUGAGACACGGUCCAGACUCCUACGGGAGGCAGCAGUAGGGAAUAUUACACAAUGGAGGAAACUCUGAUGCAGCGACGCCGCGUGAGUGAUGAAGGCCUUCGGGUCGUAAAGCUCUGUCGCAAGGGAAUAACACAAUGAAGGUACCCUGUAAGAAAGGAUCGGCUAACUUCGUGCCAGCCGCCGCGGUAAGAC